GGGGGGCUAGGAUGAAAAUUUUUGUCCUGCAUUUUUUUUUAGUUGUAAUCUCUGUCCUGCCUUUUUAUUUUUCACUCUAUUCGGUCCUGCCUUUUUUUUUUUUUAGUUUAUCCUGACUAUUUUUACAUAAAUUGUCAUCCUGACUUUUUUGUUGCAAGUGUCUCAUCCUGCCUUUUUUUUUACUCAAAACUCAUGUCCUGCCUAUUUUUUUCAAAUUUCAUCCUAGCCCCCCCAUAAAAAUCAAAU
rnacentral:lncRNA from 1 species